GGCGGCGUGCCUAAUACAUGCGUCGAGCGAAUGGAUUAAGAGCUUGCUCUUAUAGAAGUUAGCGGCGGACGGGUGAGUAACACGUGGGUAACCUGCCCAUAAGACUGGGAUAACUCCGGGAAACCGGGGCUAAUACCGGAUAACAUUUUGAACCGCAUGGUUCGAAAUUGAAAGGCGGCUUCGGCUGUCACUUAUGGAUGGACCCGCGUCGCAUUAGCUAGUUGGUGAGGUAACGGCUCACCAAGGCAACGAUGCGUAGCCGACCUGAGAGGGUGAUCGGCCACACUGGGACUGAACACGGCCCAACUCCUACGGGAGGCACAUAGGGAAUCUUCCGCAAUGGACAAAG
rnacentral:rRNA from 1 species